rnacentral:rRNA from 1 species
GCCGUCCUUGAAAUACCACCCUUGUAGUGUUGAUGUUCUAACGUUGACCCCUGAAUCGGGGUUGCGGACAGUGCCUGGUGGGUAGUUUGACUGGGGCGGUCUCCUCCCAAAGAGUAACGGAGGAGCACGAAGGUGGGCUAAACACGGUUGGACAUCGUGUGGUUAGUGCAAUGGCAUAAGCCCGCUUGACUGCGAGAAUGACAAUUCGAGCAGGUGCGAAAGCAGGUCAUAGUGAUCCGGUGGUUCUGAAUGGAAGGGCCAUCGCUCAACGGAUAAAAGGUACUCCGGGGAUAACAGGCUGAUACCGCCCAAGAGUUCAUAUCGACGGCGGUGUUUGGCACCUCGAUGUCGGCUCAUCACAUCCUGGGGCUGAAGUCGGUCCCAAGGGUAUGGCUGUUCGCCAUUUAAAGUGGUACGCGAGCUGGGUUUAGAACGUCGUGAGACAGUUCGGUCCCUAUCUGCCGUGGGCGUUGGAAGAUUGAAGGGGGCUGCUCCUAGUACGAGAGGACCGGAGUGGACGA